rnacentral:tRNA from 1 species
GCCGAUGUAGCUCAGUUGGUAGAGCAGGUCAUUCGUAAUGAUCAGGUCGCGUGUUCGAGUCACGUCAUCGGCU